rnacentral:SRP_RNA from 1 species
CCUGUAGCAUCCGCUGGAACUGGUCCGCCCGCUCCACCUUGUACCUGGGUUUCUGUAGGAGCACUUGCCGGAAGUGUUUGGAGACUUCGGUGUGGAUCGGCCCAGGCUGGCGGAGCAGGU